rnacentral:rRNA from 1 species
AUCACUCGGCUCGUGGAUCGAUGAAGAACGCAGCUAAUUGCGCGUCAACAUGUGAACUGCAGGAUACAUGAACAUUGACAUUUCGAACGCACAUUGCGGUCCUCGGAUACUGUUCCCGGACCACUCCUGGCUGAGGGUCGUAUAUUAAUACCAGACUGCUGCUUGCCCUCUCCGGGGGGCUCGCUAGCGAAUGAUGGGAUUUCGCGUGAAUGCGUUUCCUCUAAAUUAAUACACUCAACGUGUGAACCAGUGCCGUCGCCGACGCCGCCGUACUCGGUCGGCGCGGGGAUUAGGGCGGGUUGUGUGUCCUAGAAUUCAUUCUUCGACCCGACUCCGAUACCCGAAACCCGUGCCGCACCGACGGGCGGACCUGUCGACGACGGGGCGAUCUAGAGGUUCCUCGUUAAAGGCGUGAGACGGUAAAACGUCGAUCGCGAUUCUAAAAACGACCUCAGAGCAGGUGAGACUACCCCUAAAUUUAAGCAU